rnacentral:pre_miRNA from 1 species
GAAGUACUCCCUCCGUCCGAAAAUACUUGUCAUCAAAAUUGAUAAAAAAAAUGUAUUUAAAACUAAAAUACAUCUAUAUACAUUCCCUUUUAUCCAUUUCGAUGACAAGUAUUUCCGGACGAAGGGAGUAAGAG